rnacentral:lncRNA from 9 species
GCCCGGACCCCUCCUCCCGAUGAAGGCAGGGUCCCGGCUGUGAGCAGAGGAAGGGUUGGCUGGGCCAGAGUGCUGGGAAGUUCCCCGGAGGUCAAGCCACCGAGAAACCCGGGGGUAGGAUGGUCCGUCACGUGGGUCCCGGAGAAUAAAGCAGGAGGAGGGAGGGAGUCCUCGAAAUGAGACGGCCAGGGACGGCCAGCAGCUGAUAGGCUGGGUUUUGAGCAGGGAGGAAGAGGAACGCCUUUGAUGCCCAGGGCAUGCUGCCCCCUGCAGGAUGCUGCAGCCUGCGGGGUGUACAAGAGAGAGAACAUCCUGGAGAGAGGGCACCGGGCGAGGUGGGCAGUGCGGCAGAGCCAGGAGACCAUGCCCAGGAGAGCGGCAUCCUAUUCGAGAAGCUGCCCAGGUGACUCCACUGUACCUCUGGGCUGGGAACCUCCGCUCCGCACCAGGCAUCUCCUCACUUUGCGGAUGAGGCACCCGAGGCUGUG